rnacentral:rRNA from 1 species
AUUGAACGCUGGCGGCAUGCUUUACACAUGCAAGUCGAACGGUAACAGGUUAAGCUGACGAGUGGCGAACGGGUGAGUAAUGCAUCGGAACGUGCCCAGUCGUGGGGGAUAACGCAGCGAAAGCUGUGCUAAUACCGCAUACGAUCUAUGGAUGAAAGCGGGGGACCGUAAGGCCUCGCGCGAUUGGAGCGGCCGAUGUCAGAUUAGCUAGUUGGUGGGGUAAAGGCCCACCAAGGCGACGAUCUGUAGCUGGUCUGAGAGGACGACCAGCCACACUGGAACUGAGACACGGUCCAGACUCCUACGGGAGGCAGCAGUGGGGAAUUUUGGACAAUGGGCGCAAGCCUGAUCCAGCAAUGCCGCGUGCAGGAAGAAGGCCUUCGGGUUGGUAAACUAGCUUUGUUACGGAACGAAAAGGACGUAAUGGCUAAUACCGACGCUCAUGACGGUACCGUAAGAAUAAGACACCGGCUAACUACGUAGCCAGCAGCCG